rnacentral:lncRNA from 1 species
GCUACAUGUUAUGCUGCUGCUGCUUUACCUACACUCUGUUUACAUCCACUUUGCAAGGACACAAAGAUUCAUAUAUUUUUUCAACUUACUUCAGCUCAACAUUGUUACUAAGACACAGGAUCAUAUUGUUUUCCACAUCACAUGUAAAUGUGCAAUCAUAGCUUCUAUGCUGGAGUUGGAUCUACCGUUGCAUUUCUCCUCUUCUCAGUUCAGAACGCAGAUGGUUGA